rnacentral:rRNA from 1 species
GACGAACGCUGGCGGCGUGCUUAACACAUGCAAGUCGAGCGGAAAGGCCCUUCGGGGUACUCGAGCGGCGAACGGGUGAGUAACACGUGAGUAACCUGCCCUUGGCUCUGGGAUAAGCCCGGGAAACUGGGUCUAAUACCGGAUAUGACCAUCAGAUGCAUGUCUUGGUGGUGGAAAGAUUUUUCGGCUGGGGAUGGGCUCGCGGUCUAUCAGCUUGUUGGUGGGGUGAUGGCCUACCAAGGCGACGACGGGUAGCCGGCCUGAGAGGGUGACCGGCCACAC